GCUCCUGGGAAUAGUGUCAAUAAUGGAGACGAGGGACUCGUGGGAGGUGGAAAGCCCUCACCUUUCGGUUUGCUUUUGUCUUUCUCUUGCCUUCAUAAACCCAAUUCCAUCCAUCGCCUCCUCUUCUCUUCGGAUCAAGUGACAAUUUCUAGCUUGGAGAUACCAUUUCAGUAGCUCGGAAGAUCAACUUCUCUGAGAAUUUGAUGUGAGCCCCACUAAUCAUGGCUCCGAGGGCACCUGUUGGUGGAUUCCAACGACUCUCAUCUGCUUUGUCUUCAGCUGCUCUUGAAUGGAUGUUGAUGCUUCUGUUAUUCUUUGAUGCCUUGUUUGCCUACCUGGUGACAAGGUUCUCUCGUCUUUGCAUGCUACAAAAACCUUGUAUGUUUUGCUCAAGGCUAGAUCAUGUUUUUGGAAAUGAGAAACGAGGCUUCUAUCUGGAUUUGAUCUGUGAAACUCACAGAUCAGAGAUCUCAUUGUUGGGUUGCUCUAAUGGUCAUGAAAAGCUUGCUGAUGUUCAUACCGUGUGCCAGGGCUGUUUUCGUUCAUUUGAUACCGAAGGGACAUCCAACUCUGAGACUUACAAAUCAUUGGUUGGUGAGUUAAAAGGGCAUCUUGAGGACGGUGAAGAUGUUCAGGACAUUGAUGGCCUCCAUCUGUUUCAUGGGGAUGAAUUGGCAAAUGUCCCUUUUUUAAAGAAGGAUGAUGAACUACAUGCCAUCAAGUCGCUUGAAGAUAAAUCCAUAAGAGUUGAUGUUUCUGAAGUUGACAUUUCUUUGUCAAGUUCAAAUGGGCACAGUUAUCUACAGAAUAAAGAUGGAGCGAGAAAGACGAGAGAGAAAACCUUGGUUUCCCCAGCAUAUCAGUAUUCAAAGAAUCAAGAACAUGAUCACUUCUCUCAUGUUGGAUACAGUGAAGUUAAAAUUACUUCGGACUCUGAUUCUGACUUAGAGAUCCAAUUCACAGAUGAUGAUGAAGGAAAUUCUCCAUCUCAUCGAGCUGAAACUGUCAUGUAUGAUUUGGUGUCUCAUGUUGAAGAAUCAGAGGGUGUCACUCUAAUAAAAAAUGAUUUAUCUGGAAGUGUUUCAGGUGAAAGAGCCACAGAAAAGUUGAUUCGUGCGGAUCAAAUUAGUGUUUCAGAUGCUAAACCCCUUGAAAAGUUGACCGACCCUGCUCCAGUAAUUAGUGACCCUUUUGAGUCAAUUCCUGAAAAGCAAAGAAUUGCAGGUGAGCUCCAUGAUAUAUCAACUGUUUCUUUAUCUGGUGCUACUACGCAAUGUUUGGAUGAUAGUAACCAGGAACACAUUGAUGUCAAUGCUAUUCUCCCACAAUCUGAAUAUGUGCCACAAGGUCCCCAAGAACUUCUUGUAGAAGAUUCACAUGUGAAGGAUAAUUUGAAGUUUAGUGAUGCUGCUUAUGGUCAAACUACUACUAUUGAUGAUGCAAAGGAUUGCUGUACAACUGACAUCACUUUGAGGACAAGUCAUGAUGCAAAUUUUAGUGUUUCUGAUGAUAAAGCCCUAGAAAAGUUGAUGCACUCUGAUCCAGUUAUCACUGAGCCUUCGGAGUCAAUUUCUGAGAAUCAAACAAACGUAGGUGAGCUCCAAGAUGCAUCAACCUUUUCAUCUUCUGGAGCUGCUGGACAUUUUUUGGAGGAUAGCAAUUGUAACCAGAUCGAAGUCAAAGCUAUUCCCCCCCAAUCUGAAUUUGUGCCACAAGAUUCUCAAGAAGUUCUUCUAGAAGAUUCAAAUGUGAAAGCAUGUACUGGUACUACUUCAGUUGAUGAUGCAAAGGAUUGGUGUACAACUAACAUCGAUUUGGGGACAAGUCAUGAUGCAAGUGACCCUGGUCAAUCUAUGAGUACUCGUAUGGAUUUGAAUGAUGCUUAUAAGAUUGCUGUUGGUGAUAAGGGAAGCUUGUCAUCUCCUAGAUUUACUGAUGUAAUCAUUGGGAGGGAUUCUUCUAGAGUUCAGGAAGAUCUGAAACUCCUGAUUUCUCAGAUAUCUGCAGCUCAGGGGCUUGAGUCUCCAUGGAAUGAAAUGAGCCCUAGUCCCCGAGUAUAUGGACAAGGUGAUGAAUAUAUAUUGCAGAACAUAACUAAAACACUCUCUCUCGAGAGGAAUGAAUCAGGAUUAGAGUCACUAGAUGGAAGCAUUGUAAGUGAGGUGGAAGGAGAAAGUCCAAUUGAGAGGCUGAAGCGGCAGGUUGAGUUGGACAGGAAAUCCAUAAGUCUUCUCUUCAAGGAGUUAGAAGAAGAAAAAAGUUCUUCUGCAAUUGCAGCAAAUCAAGCAAUGGCCAUGAUUACUAGGUUGCAAGAGGAGAAGGCUGCAAUGCAUAUGGAAGCCCUGCAGUACCAAAGAAUGAUGGAAGAGCAAGCAGAGUAUGACCAUGAAGCACUUCAAAAAUGUAACAAAUUGCUUACUCAAAGGGAGGAAAUGAUACAAGGCUUGGAAACUGAGGUGGAAAGCCUUAGAAUAUGCUUUGUAGAAGGAUUAUCCACUGACAAUUCAGUGGAGCAGAGUGAUAACUUCCAUGAUAAGGAGAUUGCAUCUUGGAACAAAUCCGGGGAACCUCAUGUAACAUGUCAAAAUUCAAGAUGGAGUGAAUUUGGGGAUUUGAAGGAUCCCUUAUCUUGCUUUGAAGAUGAGGAGGCAUAUAUAUUAAACUGUUUGACAAAGUUGGAGAAAAAGCUUCAUCUUUUUUCCAAUAAUGGUGUUUAUGAUGAUAGUUCAAGUUUUAAUUUGAAUGCUGAUGAUGAAAAUGGACUUCCUGAUAAAACAAGUGGGGAUGUUGACGGAGAAUUUUUUGUAGAAAGGAAUGUUGUGUCAGAAGGUGGUGCGGGCACAAAUGGUCAAAUCUUUGACGAAGUUCAAGUUUCAAGUCAAGAGAAAAUUUAUCAGAAAGAUGGUCCUCCAGAAAAUAUUCAGGUAGGAGAGAACAUUAUAAUGGAAGAAAAAAUUUCUGGAAAAAGUUCAAGUUCCUCUAAAGGAAACCGUGGAGGCAGUUAUGACAUUGACAAGCAAAAAUUAUUGAAAGUAGGGAACAAGAAUGAGUUAGUUGCUCUUGAGAAUGAAGUGUCACGUCUGAGUCAGAGGUUGGAGGCACUUGAGGCAGAUCGUAAUUUCCUGGAACAUGCCAUUAACUCACUCAGAAGUGGCAACAAUGGUGUUCAGAUUAUUCAAGAGAUAGCUUGUGAUCUGCGGGAAUUACGGAGAAUUGCAAUCACCCGAUGAGAGCGUCUUAUAACUUGAACUUUUAUCUUAUCCAAAAGGUUGGUGCAUGUAGCGGGCAAUACACUAGUUGUAUUGGGUAAAUGUAGAAUCGAGGGCGAGCUUACUGCCUGGUUCAGACCCCGUAAAAGAAAAGCUCCAGAUAAUAAGCUCAGUUUCUGCAGGGCUUGGAUCCACGCACAAAGUCUGAGUAUUAUUUUCUAUAUUCAGAAAUACAUUAGGUGUGCUGCCACUGAAAAGCUUAUAGUCUUCGAACUGGCAGAGCUGAACUCUCUUCUCACCGGACUUGUCAUCUCUAUCCACCAAUGGCUGCCAUCGAGGAAGGAAUUCACCGGUGGACUCUCCAACUAUGUGGAGCAAAACACUCAGCCAUAGCCAACACCGAAUCAACAUCCACGACCGCCUCGUUGCUUCCUCCCGUCACCUUCGACUCUUCAAACAGCAGUUACGGGUCAAAAUCUUGGCCACCGGUGGAGAAGACCAUGGGCGGUGGCCUCAUUUAUAUGCUGCUUCCAUUGCGGUAAGGCAUGUAUCCUCUUUGGAGAUGGGAUCUCGUGGCGUGAAGAUGGCGAGGGCGGUGGCGUUCGUCCUCGUGUUGGUGCUCAUCACCUCGGCGUUGUCGGCGGAGGCGCGGGCUUUGGUGCUGCAGUCGCUUCCGAAGGGAUCCGAGUCGCCGUCGCAGGCUUCGGGCUGCACCUACGUGUCCGGCAACGCCGGCGGCGACUGCACCAUCGGCCGCUGAUCACUCUUGCAUGGUCUUCUACACAUUAUUUCGUUCAUCGCUUCGUUCUGUGCCAAUUACUGUACAUGUUGUCCAAGGGGAAAGAAGGCAUUAUUCAUCCCAA